GCUUUUGAAAAAAACGUAUAAGAAUUAAAGUGAUAAUGAAAAAUGCUUACAGAAAGAAAAAAAGGGGAAAAUGUUUUUGUUGAUUUUAUUUGAUUGGAGAGACAAGUCUCAUGCCUACGUACCCGAGGGAUCAAACCACCGUAGUUCGGGGUAAAAGUCGAUUUGUUUGUUGGUUUGUUUUUUAUGGUUUUGAAAAAGGUUUUAAAGAUGAAAAAGCCAAAGUGGCAUAAAAUGUGAGGUUGGUUAAUUUUAGUUUUGGUGAAAGAAAGUCUAAAUGAUUAGGAUUGAUUGAUGUUUGAUUUAGAAAAAAGACGCGCUUGCUUGGUUUGAAGUCCAAGGUUUAUUGUGAAAAUGGUUUGAAUGAUAAGAGUCUCUUGGUUUGAAGUCCAAGGUUUUUAGGAAAAGAGUGUGAUGAAACCACUUGGUUUAAAAUCCAAGAGUUCAAGAAAAGAAAAGAAGUUUGAUUGAUUGAGUUUGAAAAUGCAACUUUGGUUUGAAAUCCAAGUGCUUUUGUAUUGAAAAUGUUUGAUGACAAAAAGAUUUUUUUGGUGUUUUUGGAAAAGGUUUUGAAAAAAAAAGCAAAUGUUUUUGUGGCUUUUGAAAGGUUGAUGUUUGAAAGAAAAAUGUUUUUUGGUUUUGAAGAGGUUUUGACCUCAAUUUUGAAGAAGAGUGAAAAAAGUUUUUGCGCAUCAAAAAGAGGUUUUGACCUCAAAUUUUAAAAAAACGCGAUUGAUUGAUUUUAACGCGACGAUCUAAUUACGCGCGAUGAACCUCAUAAUGACG
rnacentral:lncRNA from 1 species